GGAUGUGAGGGUGAUCUAACUGCGACAUCUGUCACCCCAUUGAUCUCCAGGGUUGAUUCAGUUGAUUUGUCUGGGUUGGCGAGUGUUCCCUUUCUCUCUUACCACUCCAUAUGUAUUUCUCUCAAAGCUGCAAGCUGGGUUAAAGAGGAUGACCUUCCCAGAUAGAGGCGUACUGUUCUUCAGUUAAGAU
rnacentral:snRNA from 1 species